rnacentral:lncRNA from 1 species
AUGUUAAAUAAUAUAUUUUUCCUUAGUAAGAACUAUUUAUCCUCAUAUGCAAAUGAAGGUGCUUAUUUAAAUAGGCACUAUAGGAUCAAUCAAUUAAGAUUACAGCCUAAUGAGUUAUCAAAACCUCACAGAACCCUUUCAUACCUUCUUAUGAUUCUUGAUGAACUGCUUGACUUUAGGCAAAAUUCUCUGCUAGGUCAGCCCCUCCAUAUUUUUUGGAGACAGUACAGUCUGAGCAUGGGGUGUUUUAAAAGCAGAAAUAAAGUAACAAAUGCAGACUACUUGUUAACAGGAGAGUUCUUUUCACUUGUAUAAUAGCCACUUCGGAAUGUUCUUACCAUCACAGAAGAAGGCAACAAUUAAGCCUUUUCUUAUUUAGCAUUGCUAUGUCCAUGUUACUUCAGAAAAGGAAUGUGAAACUCAGGGCAGGCAACUUGCCUGCCCUUUCCAGGGUUAAGAAACAACAUUUUUUUUUUACCUUUUAAAGAAUGCAUUUAUUUAAGGGCUGCUAGCAUUUCUCAUCUGUAGCAAAAAGGAUACCCCACAUCAGACAGGAGGAAGGAUGCUUAUUCUUUGACAACCAGAAAGCAAAGAAACAACCACCAGAUGGCUCCAUAUUACACAUCCCACAUCGACCAAGGGUAGCCACUUCCCAGUGUUCCACCCAUAAUAACAGCGUGUAAAGAAAGGCUAAAGAAAUCUGUAAGCAACGUUUUGAUUUGUUUUGUUUUUUUGGCAAGACAUGGUAAAAACCAAGACCUAUGGUGAGGAUAAACGUGUACUGUGGACCCAGUUACUGAACAACAUGCAGAACUGUCAACCUUGUUCCUGGCCUAGGCUCACCAAAUGGCUUAUGUUAAGUAUACGAAAUCUUGUAAAAAGUAAACUAAUGAGAGCUCUUGCACUCUGUUCCCAGUGUAUAACCAGUGUUCAUUUCAAAAGCUGCCUUGGGGGGAAAACCCUUUAUUUUAAAAGGAGUGUAUAACUUCAUAACAUAUCAUAAAUACAGUUCUGAACAAAUAACAUGUUUAACCAUGUUAAGAACACAGUGGAUUAGAAGCAUGGCAUAUGACCCUUCCUUAAAGAACAAAAAAUAAUAUAAAGGGCACAUGUUGAGAAAACUAAGAAAAAAUAGUAAAAGCAUAUUUGCUUCUCAAGAAAAUGUUAACUUCCACGCAGAUGAAAUGUAGUGGUGCUGGCU